rnacentral:rRNA from 1 species
UACCUACGGGACGCAGCAGUGAGGAAUAUUGGUCAAUGGGCGCAAGUCUGAACCAGCCAUGCCGCGUGCAGGAAGACGGCUCUAUGAGUUGUAAACUUCUUUUGUACGGGGGUAAACGAAGAUACGCGUGUCUUUCUGAAAGUAUCCGACGAAUAAGGAUCGGCUAACUCCGUGCCAGCAGCCGCGGUAAUACGGAGGAUUCAAGCGUUAUCCGGAUUUAUUGGGUUUAAAGGGUGCGUAGGCGGUAGGUUAAGUUAGAGGUGAAAUCCAGAGGCUCAACUUC